rnacentral:rRNA from 1 species
CCCUUAGAUGUCCUGGGCCGCACGCGCGUUACACUGAUGCAUUCAACGAGCUUAUAACCUUGGCCGAGAGGCCUGGGCAAUCUUGUUAACGUGCAUCGUGAUAGGGAUAGAUUAUUGAAAUUAUUAAUCUUGAACGAGGAAUUCCUAGUAAACGCAGAUCAUCAAUCUGCAUUGAUUACGUCCCGCCCUUUGUACACACCGCCCGUCGCACCUACCGAUUGGAUGGUCCGGUGAAGCCUCGGGAUUGUGGUUCUUGCCGCUUUAUUGUGGCGUGACCGCGAGAACUUGUCUAAACCUUAUCAUCUAGAGGAAGGUGAAGUCGUAACA